rnacentral:rRNA from 1 species
CUGCGGUGGGAAAUAACCCCGGGAAACUGGGGAUAAUGUCCCAUAGGCUACGGAUGCUGGAAUGCUCUGUAGCUCAAAGAUUUAUCGCCACAGGAUGGGUCUGCGGCCGAUUAGGUAGUUGUUGGGGUAACGGCCCAACAAGCCUUUGAUCGGUACGGGUUGUGGGAGCAAGAGCCCGGAGAUGGAUUCUGAGACACGAAUCCAGGCCCUACGGGGCGCAGCAGGCGCGAAAACUUUACAAUGCGGGAAACCGUGAUAAGGGAACUCCGAGUGUCCGUAAAUGCGGACUGUCCGUAUGUCUAAAAAGCAUGCGAAGAAAGGGCCGGGCAAGACCGGUGCCAGCCGCCGCGGUAAUACCGGCGGCUCGAGUGGUGGCCACUAUUAUUGGGCUUAAAGCGUUCGUAGCUGGAUUGUUAAGUCUCUUGGGAAAUCUACCGGCUUAACCGAUAGGCGUCCAAGGGAUACUGGCAAUCUAGGGACCGGGAGAGGUGAGGGGUACUUCAGGGGUAGGAGUGAAAUCCUGUAAUCCUUGGGGGACCACCUGUGGCGAAGGCGCCUCACCAGAACGGCUCCGACAGUGAGGGACGAAAGCUGGGGGAGCAAACCGGAUUAGAUACCCGGGUAGUCCCAGCCGUAAACGAUGCGCGUUAGGUGUAUCGAUGACCACGAGUCAUCGAGGUGCCGAAGGGAAACCGUGAAACGCGCCGCCUGGGAAGUACGGUCGCAAGGCUGAAACUUAAAGGAAUUGGCGGGGGAGCACCACAACAGGUGGAGCCUGCGGUUUAAUCGGACUCAACGCCGGAAAUCUCACCGGAUAAGACAGCUGAAUGAUAGCCGGGCUGAGACUCUGCUUGACUAGCUGAGAGGAGGUGCAUGG